GGAGGUAUAGCUCAAGUGGUAGAGCACAUGCUUAGCAUGCAGAAGGUCCUGGGUUCAAUCCCCAGUACCUCCU
rnacentral:tRNA from 1 species